rnacentral:tRNA from 1 species
CCCUAGUAGUAUAAAUUAUUACAAUGGUCUUGUAAGCCAUAAAUGGAAGUAUG